UUAUGUGAUCGUCUCUCGCAUAUCAAUAAGCGGAGGAAAGGAAACUAACAAGGAUUCCCCUAGUAACGGCGAGUGAAGCGGGAAGAGCUCAAAUUUGAAAUCUUAAAGGGUUUCCCUUUACGAAUUGUAGUUUAAAGAAGUGUUUUCUGUUGAGGUUUUGGUAAAAGUUCUUUGGAAUAGGACAUCAUAGAGGGUGAGAAUCCCGUAUUUGACCUUUACUUUCAACCUUGUGAUACACUUUCAAAGAGUCGGAUUGUUUGGGAAUGCAGUCCAAAAUGGGUGGUAAAUUUCAUCUAAAGCUAAAUAUUGGCGAGAGACCGAUAGCGAACAAGUACCGUGAGGGAAAGAUGAAAAGAACUUUGAAAAGAGAGUUAAACAGUACGUGAAAUUGUCAAAAGGGAAGCGUUUGACACCAGUGUUGUUUUUCUGAAAAUCAAUUAAAGAACUGUUUAUGCUAAGUUGUUUAGACUUUAUCAGCUAACUGUUUAGUUUUGAGCUUUUCUUUAAUGCACUUUUCAGUUAACAAGUCAACAUCAAUUUCUUUUGCUGUAAAAAAGCUUGAGGAAGGUGGCUUGAGAUUCGUCUUAAGUGUUUAUAGCCUCUUGCCUAUGCAGUCGGAGAGAUUGAGGUCUGCAGCGUAGAUCCUUCGGGGCUAAAUGCAUUUGUGCUAAGUUAUAGCAUUUUAUAGACAACUUGUUGACUAUGAUUUGUCUUGUAGCUUACUCGCUUAUGUUAUUUUACCUACGCUUAGGAUGUUGAGUAGCGACAUACGCAC
rnacentral:rRNA from 1 species